GGGCGUUAAGUUGCAGGGUAUAGACCCGAAACCCGGUGAUCUAGCCAUGGGCAGGUUGAAGGUUGGGUAACACUAACUGGAGGACCGAACCGACUAAUGUUGAAAAAUUAGCGGAUGACUUGUGGCUGGGGGUGAAAGGCCAAUCAAACCGGGAGAUAGCUGGUUCUCCCCGAAAGCUAUUUAGGUAGCGCCUCGUGAACUCAUCUUCGGGGGUAGAGCACUGUUUCGGCUAGGGGGUCAUCCCGACUUACCAACCCGAUGCAAACUACGAAUACCGAAGAAUGUUAUCACGGGAGACACACGGCGGGUGCUAACGUCCGUCGUGAAGAGGGAAACAACCCAGACCGCCAGCUAAGGUCCCAAAGUCAUGGUUAAGUGGGAAACGAUGUGGGAAGGCACAGACAGCCAGGAUGUUGGCUUAGAAGCAGCCAUCAUUUAAAGAAAGCGUAAUAGCUCACUGGUCGAGUCGGCCUGCGCGGAAGAUGU
rnacentral:rRNA from 1 species